rnacentral:rRNA from 1 species
CAACUCGCCUACACGAAGCUGGAAUCGCUAGUAAUCGCGGAUCAGCACGCCGCGGUGAGUACGUUCCCGGGCCUUGUACACACCGCCCGUCACACCAUGAGAGUCUGUAACACCCAAAGCCGGUGGGAUAACCUUUAUAGGAGUCAGCCGUCUAAGGUAGGACAGAUGAUUAGGGUGAAGUCGUAACAAGGUACC